CGCGGUCCGCCCGGCUCCUCCAGCGUCAUCGCUCACCUCGCGCCGCGGCGCCGGCUCUGAGGGAGCGGGGCGGCCCGCGGGACUUCUCCUGCCAACACCCAGCCAACCGCCUCCUCCCUCAUUUGCAUGCGGCCGCCCCAUUGGGUCAUGCAAAUGUGUCCCGUGUUCGACUUGACCUUGUGCGGCCCCGGCCAGUGCGCGGGGGGGGAGGGUCUUUUUUCUUUUUCUUUUUCUUUUUUUCUCUGCUGGCUGAUUGGAGGGCUGGGAGGCCGGUGAGGUGGGGGAGCUGUCAAUCACGCGUGCCCCAGCGCUGAGAGUCGCAGUGGGGACCGUUCUUGUCGUGCUGUGGGGAGGGGCCCAGGCGCUGUACUCGCGUGCCUCACCUGGCUCGCAAAGGGGCUGAGCACUCACAGCUCCCCUUGCCUCAAACGUAGCAGCAGGUGCUCAGCACCACUGGCAGCCUCGCCUUCCCCUCAGACAGCAUCUGUGCGGUGCAGGGACUUUGCUCCAAGCUUCUGCAGACCCUGAAGGAGGCAGAGCGGGGUGGGGGGGCGACCCUGAAGUGCUACCCUUCAGAUCCAGUGCAAAUGGAAGUCAGGUCUCAGCCAUCAAUUCUUACAGACAAAAAAGUAGCGGAGAAGCAGAAAUUACUAGAAACUUGUGGCCAGGUGCGUUGCUGAGGGAAAGUGGCAGCUGCACUGAAGUCAGCAGGAUAAAGUACGGCAAAUGGCAGCUGGCCCUGCACCCCUCAAAUCAGCCCCCAAUUAGCUAGGCCUGCAAACGUUGAGCGCUGCAGCACUAAUCCGUAUGAGCCGGUGCAACAUCUCACACGUUCGCCCUUUGCUGGCAGCAGUCGGGUUACAGAUGGGGGGAGUGUAGCGCCUGGGUUACUGGGGAUCUUCCAGUUUAUGGGGCCUGCUAUGUUCGGGCUGGGUCAGCCCCAGGUUCUGCUGAAAAAUUGGGGCUAUGAGUACGUCCGUGGGUCUGUGCACAAGCUGACCGGCAGCCGCGACCCUAUAGCACUUGGCUGCACGCCUAGUGUCAUUCCCUGCCUGCUCUGCAGCAGCUCCAGUCCUGACCCCCUUUUGCCACUCCAGCUGCUCCAUUGUGGGGUCUCCUCCUGCACUUCUAAUCCCCAGCCAAAUUCUGGACCUCGACCCCCUUUCUAGGUUCCUUCUUUCCAUUCCUGUUCCCAGGACUUCAUUCCCCCAGCAGGAUGUGUCCCUCGUCCUUUGGCCACCCUGAGAUGAGGCAGGGCAAGAAAAAGACACUGAGGAUGGGAGAAGACUGAGAGGCCUGAGGGAGUGUGAAGAGAUGGUUUGGGUAUAUUUCCUAGAAGACAGUAUUGUGAAAUCAAUGGAGCAGCACUGAUCUACAUCAGCUACGAAUUGGAGCAUGACUUUUUAUCAAGUUCUAUGAUCACCUCAAAGGAUGUGUAAGCAGAGUCAUUUGCCUUCUGUGUCUCUCUGACUUUUGCUGCCAUAUGUUCCACUUCACUCUGAAAGAGCUACAGGGGAGGGUUUGUUAUAAUCAGAACUGUGUCAAAGAUCAUGCUUUCUCAGCUGUUGCAAGAAGGAGCAAUCCUCCCUUUUCUAGACAACCUGUAUUUGCUGUGUGAUUAUGCUCAAGAACCUUUGCAGAGACAAAGGGAAAGAUCCUUAGCUGGUGUAAGCAAGCAGAGCCCUGUGGAUUUCAGCAGACUACACCGAUUGAUAACAACUGAGAAUCUAGCCCUGAAAAAUCUAUUAAAAA